rnacentral:rRNA from 1 species
GAGAUGUUGGGUUAAGUCCCCGCAACGAAGCGCAACCCCUUUGUCAUUUAGUUGCUUACCGAAAGGNCACUCUAAUGAGACUGCCCGGUGACAAACCGGAGGAAGGUGGGGAUGACGUCAAGUCCUCAUGGCCCUUAUGGGUAGGGCUUCACACGUCAUACAAUGGUCGGGACAGAGGGUCGCCAACCCGCGAGGGGGAGCCAAUCCCAGAAACCCGAUCGUAAGCAUGUCGCGGUGAAUACGUUCCCGGGUCUUGUACACACCGCCCGUCACACCAUGGGAGAGCAUGUCGCGGUGAAUACGUUCCCGGGUCUUGUACACACCGCCCGUCACACCAUGGGAGUGGGUUUUACCAGAAGUAGUUAGCCUAACCGCAAGGGGGGCGAUUACCACGGUAGGAUUC